rnacentral:rRNA from 1 species
AGCGAACGCUGGCGGCAGGCUUAACACAUGCAAGUCGAACGCCAUCUUCGGAUGGAGUGGCAGACGGGUGAGUAACGCGUGGGAACGUACCCUUUGGUUCGGAAUAUUCUCGGGAAACUGGGAGCAAUACCGGAUAAGCCCUACGGGGGAAAGAUUUAUCGCCAAAGGAGCGGCCCGCGUCAGAUUAGGUAGUUGGUGGGGUAAAGGCCUACCAAGCCUACGAUCUGUAGCUGGUCUGAGAGGAUGAUCAGCCACACUGGGACUGAGACACGGCCCAGACUCCUACGGGAGGCAGCAGUGAGGAAUUUUCCGCAAUGGGCGAAAGCCUGACGGAGCAAUGCCGCGUGAAGGAUGAAGGCCUAUGGGUUGUAAACUUCUUUUCUCAGAGAAGAAUUUUGACGGUAUCUGAGGAAUAAGCAUCGGCUAACUCUGUG